GAUGAACGCUGGCGGCGUGCCUAAUACAUGCCAGUCGAGCGAACGGACGAGAAGCUUGCUUCUCUGAUGUUAGCGGCGGACGGGUGAGUAACACGUGGAUAACCUACCUAUAAGACUGGGAUAACUUCGGGAAACCGGAGCUAAUACCGGAUAAUAUUCUGAACCGCAUGGUUCAAAAGUGAAAGACGGUCUUGCUGUCACUUAUAGAUGGAUCCGCGCUGCAUUAGCUAGUUGGUAAGGUAACGGCUUACCAAGGCAACGAUGCAUAGCCGACCUGAGAGGGUGAUCGGCCACACUGGAACUGAGACACGGUCCAGACUCCUACGGGAGGCAGCAGUAGGGAAUCUUCCGCAAUGGGCGAAAGCCUGACGGAGCAACGCCGCGUGAGUGAUGAAGGUCUUCGGGUCGUAAAACUCUGUUAUUAGGGAAGAACAUAUGUGUAAGUAACUGUGCACAUCUUGACGGUACCUAAUCAGAAAGCCACGGCUAACUACGUG
rnacentral:rRNA from 1 species